rnacentral:snRNA from 1 species
UACUCUGGUUUUCUCUUCAGAUCGUAUACAUCUUUCGCCUUUUAUUAAAGAUUUCCGUGGAGAGGAACAAUUCAAAAAAAAAAAAAAGAG